AUUGAAGAAGCUUGCUUCUGAUUGAUAACAUUUGAGUGAGUGGCGGACGGGUGAGUAACACGUGGGUAACCUGCCCUAAAGUGGGGGAUAACAUUUGGAAACAGAUGCUAAUACCGCAUAAAACCUAGCACCGCAUGGUGCAAGGUUGAAAGAUGGUUUCGGCUAUCACUUUAGGAUGGACCCGCGGUGCAUUAGUUAGUUGGUGAGGUAAAGGCUCACCAAGACCGUGAUGCAUAGCCGACCUGAGAGGGUAAUCGGCCACACUGGGACUGAGACACGGCCCAGACUCCUACGGGAGGCAGCAGUAGGGAAUCUUCCACAAUGGACGAAAGUCUGAUGGAGCAACGCCGCGUGAGUGAAGAAGGUUUUCGGAUCGUAAAACUCUGUUGUUGGAGAAGAACGUAUUUGAUAGUAACUGAUCAGGUAGUGACGGUAUCCAACCAGAAAGCCACGGCUAACUACGUGCCAGCAGCCGCGGUAAUACGUAGGUGGCAAGCGUUGUCCGGAUUUAUUGGGCGUAAAGCGAGCGCAGGCGGUUUCUUAAGUCUGAUGUGAAAGCCUUCGGCUCAACCGAAGAAGUGCAUCGGAAACUGGGAAACUUGAGUGCAGAAGAGGACAGUGGAACUCCAUGUGUAGCGGUGAAAUGCGUAGAUAUAUGGAAGAACACCAGUGGCGAAGGCGGCUGUCUGGUCUGUAACUGACGCUGAGGCUCGAAAGCAUGGGUAGCAAACAGGAUUAGAUACCCUGGUAGUCCAUGCCGUAAACGAUGAGUGCUAGGUGUUGGAGGGUUUCCGCCCUUCAGUGCCGCAGCUAACGCAUUAAGCACUCCGCCUGGGGAGUACGACCGCAAGGUUGAAACUCAAAGGAAUUGACGGGGGCCCGCACAAGCGGUGGAGCAUGUGGUUUAAUUCGAAGCAACGCGAAGAACCUUACCAGGUCUUGACAUCCUUUGACCACUCUAGAGAUAGAGCUUUCCCUUCGGGGACAAAGUGACAGGUGGUGCAUGGUUGUCGUCAGCUCGUGUCGUGAGAUGUUGGGUUAAGUCCCGCAACGAGCGCAACCCUUAUUACUAGUUGCCAGCAUUUAGUUGGGCCUCUAGUGAGACUGCCGGUGACAAACCGGAGGAAGGGGGGACAACGUCAAAUCAUCAUGCCCCUUAUGACUGGGCUACCACGUGCUACAUGGAUGGU
rnacentral:rRNA from 1 species